rnacentral:tRNA from 1 species
GGACGAGUGGCGUAACUGGCAGCCGCGCGGGUCUUAGAAGCCCGUGGGAGUGAUCCCGUGUCGGUUCGAGUCCGACCUCGUCCACCA